rnacentral:rRNA from 1 species
GCAACCCGACUCCGUGAAGCUGGAUUCGCUAGUAAUCGCGCAUCAGCCAUGGCGCGGUGAAUACGUUCCCGGGCCUUGUACACACCGCCCGUCAAGCCAUGGAAGCCGGGGGCGCUUGAAGUGCGUUGCCGCAGGGCGCGCCCUAGAGCGAAACCGGUGACUGGGGCUAAGUCGUAACAAGGUACC